rnacentral:rRNA from 1 species
CGGAGGAAAAGAAACCAACAGGGAUUGCCUUAGUAGCGGCGAGUGAAGCGGCAAAAGCUCAAAUUUGAAAUCUGGCGCCUUCGGUGUCCGAGUUGUAAUUUGAAGAUUGUAACCUUGGGGUUGGCUCUUGUCUAUGUUUCUUGGAACAGGACGUCACAGAGGGUGAGAAUCCCGUGCGAUGAGAUGCCCAAUUCUAUGUAAGGUGCUUUCGAAGAGUCGAGUUGUUUGGGAAUGCAGCUCUAAGUGGGUGGUAAAUUCCAUCUAAAGCUAAAUAUUGGCGAGAGACCGAUAGCGAACAAGUACAGUGAUGGAAAGAUGAAAAGAACUUUGAAAAGAGAGUGAAAAAGUACGUGAAAUUGUUGAAAGGGAAGGGUUUGAGAUCAGACUCGAUAUUUUGUGAGCCUUGCCUUCGUGGCGGGGUGACCCGCAGCUUAUCGGGCCAGCAUCGGUUUGGGCGGUAGGAUAAUGGCGUAGGAAUGUGACUUUACUUCGGUGAAGUGUUAUAGCCUGCGUUGAUGCUGCCUGCCUAGACCGAGGACUGCGAUUUUAUCAAGGAUGCUGGCAUAAUGAUCCCAAACCGCCCGUCU